UACGGGGGGGGCAAGCGUUGUUCGGAAUUACUGGGCGUAAAGGGUUCGUAGGUGGCCAACUAAGUCAGACGUGAAAUCCCUCAGCUCAACUGGGGAACUGCGUCUGAUACUGAUUGGCUUGAGUGCAGGAGAGGAACGCGGAAUUCCAGGUGUAGCGGUGAAAUGCGUAGAUAUCUGGAGGAACACCGGUGGCGAAGGCGGCGUUCUGGACUGCAACUGACACUGAGGAACGAAAGCCAGGGAGCAAACGGG
rnacentral:rRNA from 1 species